GACGAACGCUGGCGGCGUGCCUAAUACAUGCAAGUCGAGCGGGUUUCACCCUUCGGGGUGAAGCUAGCGGCGGACGGGUGAGUAACACGUAGGCAACCUGCCUGUAAGAUCGGGAUAACUACCGGAAACGGUAGCUAAGACCGGAUAAUCGGUUUUCUCGCAUGAGAGAAUCGUGAAACACGGGGCAACCUGUGGCUUACGGAUUGGCCUGCGGCGCAUUAGCUAGUUGGUGGGGUAACGGCCUACCAAGGCGACGAUGCGUAGCCGACCUGAGAGGGUGACCGGCCACACGGGGACUGGGACACGGCCCAGACCCCUACGGGAGGCAGCGGAAGGGAAUCUUCCGCAAUGGACGCAAGGCUGACGGGGCCACGCCGCGUGGGUGGGGAAGGCCUUCGGGUCGUAAAGCUCUGUUGCCCUAGACGAAUGUCUUGGAGAGUAACUGCUCUAAGAGUGACGGUAUAGGAGAAGAAAGCCCCGGCUAACUACGUGCCAGCCGCCGCGGUAACAC
rnacentral:rRNA from 1 species